rnacentral:rRNA from 1 species
CUGGCUCAGAACGAACGCUGGCGGCAGGCCUAACACAUGCAAGUCGAGCGGGCCCUUCGGGGUCAGCGGCGGACGGGUGAGUAACGCGUGGGAACGUGCCUUUCGGUUCGGAAUAGCCCCGGGAAACU